AUUUUUGUUUUUUUGGUUAACAUCUACCUUCUUAACUCUGUGAUUAAUUAAUUACAACUAAUUAAGAAAAAAGCAGUCAAUAUGCAUCAGUUUAAUUUCAAGUACAACUUUUUCCUGUGCAUCGAGUGAUAUAUAUAACAAUUUACAUCAAAAUGUCUACCUUAUCACCUAACCCAAAAUGUGAAAAGUGAUCGACCCGGCAAAUCUAUGAAAGAACACAAAAAAAGGAAACAAACAAACAAAAACUAAAAAAAAAAAAAAAAAGGAUUGUCACCAUUAGAUGCAUCCAACAAAAUGAAGGACAAGCCAAGCCAAUGAAAACACCGAAUUAUUCAAUCACUGAUUUAAAUGAACCUUCUUACACCUAAUAAAAAUUCAUGAGAUACUAACAAGAAAAGCAUGAAAACUAACACGAAACUUGUAAACUGAACGUCUAGUUCGGUACCAUGUACAUGGUUAAAUGCCUAAUGCAUUUGUCAAUUACGACGAUAAUAAAUUUUGAUCGUUAACUUUUUUAAUUUUCACAAUUGAAAA